rnacentral:piRNA from 1 species
UUAUGUGGUCGGUUUACGAUU